GAUGAACGCUGGCGGCGUGCUUAACACAUGCAAGUCGAACGGAAAGGCCUCUGCUUGCAGGGGUACUCGAGUGGCGAACGGGUGAGUAACACGUGGGUGAUCUGCCCUGCACUUCGGGAUAAGCCUGGGAAACUGGGUCUAAUACCGGAUAGGACAAUGGUUUGGAUGCUGUUGUGGAAAGUUUUUCGGUGUGGGAUGAGCUCGCGGCCUAUCAGCUUGUUGGUGGGGUAAUGGCCUACCAAGGCGUCGACGGGUAGCCGGCCUGAGAGGGUGUACGGCCACAUUGGGACUGAGAGACGGCCCAGAGUCCUACGGGAGGGAGCAGUGGGGAAUAUUGCACAAAGGGCGCAAGCCUGAUGCAGCGACGCCGCGUGGGGGAUGACGGCCUUCGGGUUGUAAACUCCUUUCGCUAGGGACGAAGCGUUUUUGUGACGGUACCUGGAGAAGAAGCACCGGCUAACUACGUG
rnacentral:rRNA from 1 species